rnacentral:rRNA from 1 species
UACGAAGGGGGCUAGCGCUGUUCGGAUUUACUGGGCGUAAAGCGCACGUAGGCGGAUCUUUAAGUCAGAGGUGAAAUCCCAAGGCUCAACCUUGGAACUGCCUUUGAUACUGGGGAUCUUGAGUCCGGGAGAGGUGAGUGGAACUGCGAGUGUAGAGGUGAAAUUCGUAGAUAUUCGCAAGAACACCAGUGGCGAAGGCGGCUCACUGGCCCGGUACUGACGCUGAGGUGCGAAAGCGUGGGGAGCAAACAGG